CAUAAAGUUACCAGUUAAAGAACAUGUCCAGUAAACCUGGUGAGCCAUAACUUUGGUUACAUUUUCUAACUAAGAAACCUAGGUUUCAAGUGCUACAGACUGACUAAAUCAAAAGUAUCGCUCAACAAAGGCUUAAGACAGUCAAAUCAUAGCUGAGGCGAGCUGUCCAUGUGAAACAACGGGAACGUAUGGCGAAGAGGUUACAAUUCUGGAUGCAAAGCAUGAAGAAGAAGGGAAGUUCUGAAGGCCGGAUAUGAAAUGAAUGAG